rnacentral:lncRNA from 1 species
GGACUGUUUUUCUUUAUAAAUUACCCAGUCCCAGGAUUCAUGACUACAACCCCAAAAUACGGCACUUCUGCCUGUGUGGAAACAACAGAAGCAGGAAGAUUACUCUCAUUUUUCUCUGGCCUUUUUCCCUUGAAGCAGACUAUAAAGAAGAAUCUGACCUUCCUCUGAAGGAAACCUUCAUUCCAGACAUACCCUCCCUAUAUCCAAAGAACAUCUUUAUCUUUAAAGACACAGAGAUGUCAAGAAGAAUCUGAACAAACAGGCUUUGCCAGAUCCCCCAGUUUACUA